CUUAGCUAUCAGUUUAUGACUGCUAACUCCUAAACUUUCAGUAAAUCUAUUAUCAGUGCCUGGAGUGUAAUUUAAACCAUAAGAAAAACCACACUGGGCUAGACCAAAGGACCAUCUAGCUCUGAAUCUUCUCUUCUGACAGCAGCCAAGAGCAGGUACCCCAAAAGCCACUCAACAAAGCACCCCUGACAGUUAUUAUCCCUGCCCCAAAAGCAGACAGACCAAUGGAGAACUGCCAUGAGUCCAGGGUAAGACUUCACUACGGUUUUACCAUUUCCACUUGCUAAACUCCCUCUCAACCUUCUGGGCUCCUAGAGCAGGUACUGAGCCUGAGCCGAGACACGCACACUGCAACUUUACAGCCCAAGCCACAUUGCCCUGAUUACUCCAACCCAGGCCUGCCCUGGAUGUU